rnacentral:rRNA from 1 species
CGCAUCUGUGCAUGCAGCAUAUCAAUAAGCGGAGGAAAAGAAACUAACAAGGAUUCCCUUAGUAACGGCGAGUGAAGCGGGAAGAGCUCAAAUUUGAAAUCUUCAAGGUUUUACCUUGACGAAUUGUAGUUUAAAGAAGUGUUUUCUGUUGAAGUUUUGGUAAAAGUUCUUUGGAAUAGGACAUCAUAGAGGGUGAGAAUCCCGUAUUUGACCAUUAUUUUCAGCUGUGUGAUACACUUUCAAAGAGUCGGAUUGUUUGGGAAUGCAGUCCAAAAUGGGUGGUAAAUUUCAUCUAAAGCUAAAUAUUGGCGAGAGACCGAUAGCGAACAAGUACCGUGAGGGAAAGAUGAAAAGAACUUUGAAAAGAGAGUUAAACAGUACGUGAAAUUGUCAAAAGGGAAGCGUUUGACACCAGUGUUGUUUUCUCGAAAAUCAAUUAAAAAGAGUUAGAUUUUGUUGUGUAUUGACCUUAACAGCUUGCAUUUCAAUUUUCUUGCUUUUUUUAAUGCACUUUUCGUUUAACAAGUCAACAUCAGUUUCUUUUGUUGUAAAAAGGUCAUUGGAAGGUGGCUUUCUUUUCGGAGAAAGUGUUUAUAGCCUUUGACUCCUGCAAUCGGAGAGACUGAGGUCUGCAGCGUAGAUCCUUCGGGGUUAGAUACAUUUGUGCUAAGUUAUAGCUUUUUAUAGACAACUUGUUGACUAUGAUUAGUCUUGUAGCUUACUCGCUUAUGCUAUUUUACCUACGCUUAGGAUGUUGACACACGCGCGUGCUCGCGUCUAUACAUGACUCUGCGCAUAUCAAUAAGUGGAGGAAAAGGCUGCGGAACUGAACGACCGCUACCUACGCUUAGGAUGUUGACACACGCGCGUGCUCGGCUCUAUACAUGACUCUGUGCAUAUCAAUAAGCGGAGGAAAAGGCUGCGGAACUGAACGACCGCUACCUACGCUUAGGAUGUUGAAGAUGUAGCACAUCAU